GAAAAACAAAAAGAGGGAGAAAAAGGAACAGAGACAGAGAGAGAAGCAGAGAAACAGAGACACACAGAGAGAAAAGCAAUGCAAAAAAAGAGAGCAACAAAUAAUUCAUUUCUUAAACCUAAAUCCUUAUUCUAUACAUUCUUUUACAAGGGUUGUUAACUAGUCUCCUCUGACAUGAGUCUUUAAUAACCUAUUGCAAGACGUGCCACAGACGCCAUUUCUAAAACAUUCAAGUGUGUACCAAAUUCCAAAUUUACCAGGUUAUUAGGAAUUUGAAUACUGCUCUUGGAGUUUUAUUUGCCAUUUUUACUGGUUACACCUCAUCUCUAUGAUACCUGUGGGAUCCUUUACAAGCAAGCAGAACAGGGCCCUUUCCAACAUUAUCACACAAUCAUAAAAGUGCCAAUAAAAACAAGGUAAUGCUGUCCCCCCUGGUUGUUUUAUCCCAUGGGUUGCAGUUUAGCAGUGUUAAAGAGAAACAAAGCUUCUAUCUGAACAGGGAAUAUAACAAUUCACUAGUUGUUAGUAAAGUACAAGAGGUGUCUGUCCAUACAUCUCUUGUUAUUUCAGUCAGAAUUUCAAAGUAAGAGCUGCAACCUGAUGAUCCACAGAGCACUCCCAGAAGGUAUUUUUGUCUGUCAUUUUAAAAUUAUUGCUAACAUUUAAAGGACAGAGCAUUCGUGUUUUGUCAUUUUUGCCACUGUUUUUAUACUAAACCAGAAUGACAACUUCCAGUGAAAAGCCUGGCCACAAUGGCAGGUAUUUCAAUAGUUUUAAGUUAUGUGUUGCCUAUUUGUCCGGGCAGGUAUUUUCCCAGGUCCAGCAUCAGCCUCAAACCUCUCUUCUGGCUGUGAUGUGUUGCCCCUGUAGGCCCUGGAGAUUGAGACUGAGCACCUUUGGAUGGCAGCAAGUCCAAUUCUGAUUCAUUUGUGGCCACUCUGCUGUCAGUGUUUCACAGCUCAUUUCUGACUCAGCAGCAGUAUGAAUUAGUCCCUGUUCUCCAUCCCCCAGACUGCCAAUUGCAUGGCUGCCAUCCUCUUAUUAUUUAGUUCCCAACCAGAUUUUAGUUAUGUUCAAUUAAAUGUUCUCUUCAAAGGAAUUUUAAAUACAUUCACAGUGAAGGCAGAAAGACAGGUGAGAAGAUCUAAGAGCUCCAAAUAAGAGCUACACUCGGUUUCCAUCUUCACAGGAAAUCACAGCUCACCAAGCAAUUUAGAUAUGGUGGCUGCUCAGUGAGGCUUGGUAGGAUAGCCAGCUCACUUGUCUCUGUAUUCAGCCCUGGGAAGUCAUCUAAAAUGACAUAAACCCAAGUGUCCAUCACAGCACUUAGUUAAAUCAAAAUGUGAUUGUUUUAUUAACUACAAAUGGUUCUGGGCUCAUUACACUAUAUGAUGCCUUUAUGCAAAUGAGACAAAAUGGACACUCCUCCUAGUUGAGCAGUAAAUGUCAGAGAGUUCACCUGCAAGCAAAGUUCAAGUCAGAUUUCAGCCACAAACGGGUGUGGUCAGUUGUGAAUAUACAUGCUCAGAGGAAAGUUACAUUUGAUAUACUACAGAAUUCAAAGAAUGGAUAUAGUUUAGAGAUCUGGAUAAGCUUGACAGAAGAAAACUUUCAAAAGACAGGAUAGGAAGGUAAAUGUGAGGGCUCAAGAGAGGAAGUCUACCCAGGACAAUAGUUAGAACAAGAGUCAUGAAUGUUUAGGAAACACUAUGAGGUUGAGUACCAGUGUUUAUGCAAUUUUUAUGUAAAUGGCAGGAAUAGGUGGUUAAUAGAUUGGGUCUAUGAGGUAAAAAGCACUGAAGGCUAAGUUGAGGAGUCUGCUCCUAAGUCAGGUGUCAGUCUCUCAAGCCAUCCUUACCAAGAACUAAUGAUUAAUGUCACACAAUAAUUAACACUAAUCACAUAGUGGGUGUCAUUUUGCCUUUUGGUGAAAGUUAUCUCACUUAAAUCUCAUAACAAUCUUAAAAAAUUUGUGCUAUCACUGUUUCUAUUUUGCAAAAUAGAAAAUAAUGAUUUCAACAGUUAGAAAUGUCAAAGUUCCCAUGCUUUUUAGGUCCAUAAAUGGUUCAGGUGGAGAGAAAUCCCUUUAGAUGGAAGACAUAAUGACUAGAAUGCUAAAUAUUACACUAAGUAUGGAUGUAUGUGUUAAGGAUUACAGGACCAAAAGACAAAGAUUAUCAUUUUGUGACAUUUGAGGGACUUAUUUAUGGCCACCAUUUAUGUACAAAGGCUUAAUUUGUCAAUGCUCUGUAUUUGGGUCUCUGUUAUCAUUGGCUAAGCAUAUUUCUUUUCUGAUAUAAAUUUUUAUAUAAGUAAUGAAAACCUUGGUUUAUAUUACCUCGAUUGAUGUCAUGAAUAUCUACAACUUAUAGGACCAAGGUUGAAGAAUGUGUGUAACUCAAAUAUAGUUAGGCUACUCUAUUCAUGAGAUAGAGGUAUCUCUCAUGAAGUGCUUAUAAAAUUGAUAUAAAGUUACUAAGGCUUUACGAUAAUCUACUCAAAGUUUAGGCAAGGAUAAUAUUACCAUUAAAACCCACAAAAAUGAAAUAAACUCAGAAUCAUUUAAAAUUCAAAGCUUAGAUGAAAACUCAGAAACAAAGCAGGUAUUUCCAUUGAGACACAUGAGAGUUGUUAUUCAUAGGUCUCACCAGGAACAGAAACACGUUUAGUUGGGUUGUUGUUAUUGGUGGUAAUGGUGCUUGUUUCUGGUUUUGUUUCUUUUUGUUGCUAUUGUCUUUGGCAAUGGAAGCCCAGGGAGCAUGAGAAGGGAACUAGACUGCAGGCUAUAGUGAGAAGCAGUUAAAGGAGUAUGGAUGUUAGCUUUCCUGAAGAGGAGACCCAUGUGUACCAUAGAGCAUCAUUCGCCAGUACUUAUCCUGCGUUUUGUUUUCCUAUCAACAACCCCAGUGAACUUCUACUAUGAAGUAGGUCACUCGUCUGAUUAAAAUACUUUAAUGAUUCCUCCCAAGAUAUGGAAUAAAAUCCAAGCCCCCAAUAUAUCUUAGCUUUUCUGCCUUUGGUUUUGAAAUUUGAAAUUCCAAGUCAUUUCCAAACUGGGCCUUUGAUCUUUUUUUUUUUUUUUUUUUUGCCAGUCUUGGGGCUUGGACUCAGGGCCUGAGCACUGUCCCUGG